GCAAGUUGAGCAAAAUAAAAAUAAAUGUGAACUUUUCAAGAAUAAACCAUUAUAUAUAGAUAUAUAGAUAGUUCUAAAUCUCAAAAUUCAUAAAAUUCAUUUUCCAAUUACUCUAUACCAGCAAUGGGAUUCUUGAAAAUUCUUCUUAUCUUCAUAUUUUGCUCUUUCCUAAGGCCUAGUAUUCAGAGUGAUCUUGAGACUUAUAUAGUACAUGUUGAAUCACCUGAAAACCAAAUUUCUACUCAAUCAUCAUUAACGGAUUUAGAGAGCUAUUACCUUUCUUUUUUGCCUAAAACUACUACCGCAAUUAGCUCGAGUGGAGAUGAAGAGGCUGCUAGCAUGAUCUACUCCUACCACAAUGUGAUGAAAGGUUUUGCAGCAAGAUUAACUGCAGCACAAGUGAAGGAAAUGGAGAAAAAACACGGCUUUGUCUCUGCUCAGAAACAGAGGAUUUUCUCCUUGCAUACUACUCAUACUCCAAGUUUUCUUGGUUUGCAACAGAACAUGGGCUUCUGGAAAGAUUCCAAUUUUGGAGAAGGUGUAAUCAUCGGAGUUCUAGACACUGGAAUUCUUCCUGAUCAUCCUUCAUUUAGUGACGUUGGGAUGCCUCCCCCGCCUGCUAAGUGGAAAGGAGUUUGUGAGUCCAAUUUCACCACAAAGUGUAACAACAAGCUCAUUGGAGCCAGGUCUUAUCAACUUGGCAAUGGUUCCCCGAUUGAUGAUAAUGGACAUGGUACACAUACAGCAGGCACAGCUGCUGGAGCCUUUGUGAAAGGUGCCAAUAUAUUUGGGAAUGCUAAUGGUACUGCUGUUGGUGUUGCCCCUCUAGCCCACAUAGCGGUAUAUAAGGUAUGUAGUUCUGAUGGCGGUUGUUCUGACAGCGAUAUUUAGCUGCCAUGGAUGCAGCUAUAGAUGAUGGUGUAGAUAUACUUUCAAUCUCCCUUGGUGGAAGUACAAAACCUUUCCAUGAUGAUGGUAUUGCUCUCGGGACGUACAGUGCAACAGAAAGAGGUAUUUUUGUAAGUGCCUCUGCAGGCAAUAGCGGUCCAUCGCUUGGCACUGUAGCUAAUGAAGCCCCGUGGAUUCUCACUGUUGGUGCCAGCACUCAUGAUAGAAAACUGAAGGUUACUGUUAAGCUUGGAAAUAGCGAGGAAUUUGAAGGAGAAUCUGCUUAUCAUCCAAAGACUUCCAACUCAACAUUCUUCCCUCUAUAUGAUGCUGGAAAGAAUGAAAGUGAUCAAUUUAGCGCGCCUUUUUGUAGUCCAGGCUCACUUAAUGACCCUGCUAUCAAAGGUAAGAUAGUCUUGUGUUUGCGAAGUAUAAGUCUUCUCAGAGUUGCUCAAGGACAAUCUGUAAAAGAUGCUGGAGGUGUUGGCAUGAUUCUCAUCAAUGAACAACAAGAGGGUGUGACUAAAUCAGCUGAAGCUCAUGUCCUUCCUGCAUUGGAUGUUUCAAAUGCUGAUGGAAAGAAAAUUCUUGCCUAUAUGAACUCAUCUUCAAAUCCGGUUGCUUCAAUCACCUUCCAUGGAACUGUAAUUGGAGACAAAAAUGCUCCUAUAGUUGCUUCAUUUUCCUCACGAGGACCAAGCGUAGCAAGUCCUGGCAUCUUAAAACCUGACAUAAUCGGUCCUGGUGUUAACGUCCUUGCUGCUUGGCCUACCUCCGUGGAUAACAACAAAAACACAAAAUCAACAUUCAAUAUAGUAUCCGGAACCUCAAUGUCUUGCCCUCACCUUAGUGGCGUAGCAGCUCUGCUGAAGAGCACACAUCCUGAUUGGUCUCCUGCAGCUAUUAAGUCCGCAAUGAUGACAACAGCUGACACAGUAAACCUCGCCAACAGUCCAAUACUGGACGAAAGGCUCAUUUCUGCUGAUCUCUUUGCAAUUGGUGCAGGACAUGUUAAUCCAUCGAGAGCAAGUGAUCCAGGACUAGUUUAUGAUACACCAUUCGAGGACUACGUUCCUUAUUUAUGUGGUUUGAACUACACAAAUCGGGAGGUAGGUAAAGUGUUACAACGCAAGGUGAAUUGCUCGGAGGUAAAACGUAUCCCUGAAGAGCAACUAAAUUAUCCUUCAUUUUCCAUCAGACUUGGAUCAACUCGUCAGACAUAUACCAGAACCGUAACCAACGUUGGUGAUGCCAAAUCAUCUUACAAAGUGGAGAUAGUUUCACCAAAAGGAGUUGUCGUGAAAGUUGAACCCUCCGCGCUAAAUUUCUCAACGUUGAACCAGAAGUUGACAUAUCAAGUGAUAUUUACCAAGACAACUAAUAUCUCAACUACCAGUGAUGUUGAGGGAUUUUUGAAGUGGAAUUCUAAUAGGCACUCUGUAAGAAGUCCAAUUGCAGUUAGAGUGUCUGCUGAAUAAAACUAAAAUGCUUUCAAUCUAAAAUGUAAAAAUAAGUGCAGAAAUUAAUCAUAGUGGAUUGCUGUUUUUUUUCAGUAUAUGUUUUAUGUCACAUCUUUUACUUCUCCAGGAAAGUAUAGGAUUGUAAUUGGGCUCAAUGAAUGUUUACUCUUUAAACCUUGAAAAUCAAAUAAUUUUUGUA